UGGCAGACGAACAUUGGAAAUGACAAGAUUUCUGCGCAGAGAUUUUCCCUGAUCAAGAGUGCAACAUGAGCUGCUGUGGAUAUUAACUUUACUGCCAGAUGAACAUUGGAAGUGAAAAAGAUUUCUGCGCAUAGCCUUUCCUUGGUCAAGAGUGCAACCAGCCACGUGAGCUGC